UAGCUCUUCAUCCUAGUGUUUGGUUCCCCUCGCUUGAAAAGAUGGUUUGUUUGGUUUUUCGAGUCUUCACCUCUUCAUCCUGGUGCCUCAUUCCUCUCACAUGAAAGGAUGGGUCAUUUGGCUCGUUGGAUUUUUUAUCAUUUGGACUUUUUAGAUAGUUAAUACUCAUCGAUUGAGCGUGCCUCCUCCCAUUCAAACCUAGCCUUGACUAGGUCUUUUAUUGGCUUUUGGCCGAUAUCUUAGUCCCAGUUGAAAUCAGGGUGUCUCCAUAAUAUCGGGCACU
rnacentral:lncRNA from 1 species